rnacentral:ncRNA from 1 species
GUAUGUUUUGAAACCUUUCUAUUUAAUUCGUUAUAAAAAUUUCCAGAAUCUAUAAAUCCUGGAUUUUCCAUUUCUUUAAAUGUGUGAGGGGAAAAAAUAUAAAUAAAAUAUAAAUAAAUAUAAUAUAUAAUAUAAAUAAAAUAUAAAUAUAAAUAAAUAUAAUAUAAUAAAUAUAUAAUAUAAAUAUAAUAUAUUAAUAUAAUAAAAUAUAUUAAUAUAUUCAAAAUGCUCGAUUGUCUUACUCGACAAAAGGUUCAUUUAUAUACAAUAAUCGCAUCGUAGCGGGUAUAGUUUAGUGGUAAAAGUGUGAUUCGUUGUAUUAAUUCUAAUAUCUAAUAGUUAAGGGAUCCCUCGGUCCAUAUUCCGAUGAAAAACUUUAUUUCUUAAAAAGAUUUAAUCCUUUACCUCUCAAUGAAAAAUUCAAGGAAAAAUAUACAUUCUCGUGAUUUGUAUCCAAGAAUCAAUUAGAAAUUGAAAAAUUGGAUUAUGAAAUUACGAAACAUAAUUUUUUUUAAUUGGAUCAAUGCUUUCAAUUGAAUGAGUAUGAGUAAGGGAUCUAUGGAAAAAGACAGAAAAGUUUAUUUCUAAUCGUAACUAAAUCUUCAAUUUUUUCUUUGUUUUGUAUAGUCGAGAUUGAAGCAAAAUAAGCAUUAAAUGAUGACUUUGGUUUACUAUAGACAUCGGCAUCUUGUUUUAGCUCGGUGGAAACAAAAUGCUUUUCCUAAGGAUUCUCUCAAAUAGAAAUAGAGAACGAAGUAACUAGAAAGAUUAUUAAAAAAAACCCCACUCGUCCAGAGGGAUCAUCUAGAAAGCGUCUUGUUUUGAAUCCAUUAAGACAGAAAAGCUGACAUAGAUGUUAUGACUCGAAUUUUUUUCGCUUAAGUCUUAAAGCUGGAAAUUUUUCCAUAUUCCAUAAAGGAGCCGAAUGAAAUCAAAGUUUCAUGUUCGGUUUUGAAUUAGAGACGUUAAAGAUGAUGAAUCAACGUCGACUAUAACCCCUAGCCUUCCAAGCUAACGAUGCGGGUUCGAUUCCCGCUACCCGCUCUAUAUUCUUUAAAAUCUAUAUUCUCUAAAAAA